rnacentral:lncRNA from 1 species
CUCGCUCGUGGCAUGCCAGGCCUGGCCGAGCAGGGCGGCUGUGCCGGGCAGGCCGCAGGGCCAAGGUGGGAGGAUGAACAAACACCAUUUGCUGUCCUUGGCCUCAUGGAGAGGGGUGGAGAGUUAUCCCAAAGAUCCAGUGGCCAGGGAGAGGGAGCAGGGUGUGAAGCAGCCACGUGCUGAGAGGGGAAGAACCCUCCCCGUUCUUCCCUGUAAUAUUUGGGCCACACCAACACUCUCCAUCACUGCACGGCUACCAGGAGAGCUGCAUAAACCACCAACAAAUUCAAAAAUGCAAGUUUUUUCUUCAAGCAUUUCCCCAUCACUAGCUCAGGUGCUGGUGGUUUUUCCAUUCCACGCAAGAAAUCUACAUUUGAACCCUCAUAUCCCACGCUAUGUUUUGUGGGAACAGAAUUGGGGUCCAACAACCUUGCCAAUAUUCCCAGGCUGGUUGGGGUGUAGUAUAAAGUAAAGAGCCUGUCUUAGAGGCACCUUUGGCACCUGGCACCUGCAAGGCUCGAUUUGGGAUGUCUCAGUAAUCACCUGCUUAACGGGGAAAGCUCAAGGAGCCAGAGAACAGGAAUUGCACCUUUCCCAUCCCCAUUUUCCUGGCAGCAGGAGCAGUUUGCUGCAGCUCGUGUUCCCAUCUAUUCUGGAGCUGAAGGCGUGAAAACAAACGGAGGCUGAUUACGCCCCGCUCCGAGGAAUGGUGCGGAUGUGAGAAGCAGCAGAAAAACUUGCUCACUUGGUGUUUUCCUGAGUGCCUGCCAGAGCUGCAUCUGCUCCUGGACCGACGCUGCCUGGCUGCUAGAAGAGAAGAAUUUGAAUAAUUUCUGUCAUGUGGAGGAAGAGGGAGCAGAGAGCCACCCUGAUGGCCUUUGGGAGCUGAAAACUGAUGCUCGUGUUUAUUGGCUGCCAUGUAAGAUACAUCAAUGUAUGGAUUUUUCUGGGUUUUUUGGGGUUUUUUUUCCUUUUAUAGUAGUGCUUUUGGUUAUUAUUUCAGGGGAUGAGCUUGAAAGGGCUCUGGGUUUGUGUGCCUCUUAGAAAUCUUGAAUCCUUUAUUGAGCAGAUCCUAAAAUCCUACUCCUGGUGCCCCACUGUGGGAGUAUAAUUCAAAUCCCCCUCUUCUCUCUUCUUGAGUCUCUUUAUUCCCUGUUUUUACACAUGGAGAUGUGUGUAUGGAUCAAGCCUCCAUCCCAAAUGGACUAUUCUAAGUACUGGGCCACAUAAAAGCCAGAAAUAUCCAAUAAAAUCAGACCUGGUGAAACCA